rnacentral:rRNA from 1 species
CCUACGGGGGCAGCAGUGGGGAAUAUUGGACAAUGGGGGCAACCCUGAUCCAGCCAUGCCGCGUGUGUGAAGAAGGCCCUCGGGUUGUAAAGCACUUUCAGUGAGGAAGAACGCCUGGUGGUUAAUACCCAUCAGGAAAGACAUCACUCACAGAAGAAGCACCGGCUAACUCCGUGCCAGCAGCCGCGGUAAUACGGAGGGUGCGAGCGUUAAUCGGAAUUACUGGGCGUAAAGCGCGCGUAGGUGGCUUGAUAAGCCGGUUGUGAAAGCCCCGGGCUCAACCUGGGAACGGCAUCCGGAACUGUCAAGCUAGAGUGCAGGAGAGGAAGGUAGAAUUCCCGGUGUAGCGGUGAAAUGCGUAGAGAUCGGGAGGAAUACCAGUGGCGAAGGCGGCCUUCUGGACUGACACUGACACUGAGGUGCGAAAGCGUGGGUAGCAAACAGGAUUAGAUACCCGGGUAGUC